rnacentral:lncRNA from 1 species
UCUGAAAUAAGGGUUCCCUUCCUGUACUGUUCUGAAAUAUGGGUUCCCUUCCUGUACUGUUCUGAAAUAUGGGUUCCUUAUACUGUUCUCAAAUAUGGGUUCCUUAUACUGUUCUGAAAUAUGGGUUCCUUAUACUGUUCUGAAAUAUGGAUUCCUUUCCUGUACUGUUCUGAAAUAUGGGUUCCUUUUCUAUACUGUUCUGCUCACAGACAUGCAGUGCUUCGUCGGCAAACAUAGAAAAACCAAAGAGGUUAAUCAUAUUGUAGUUAUUCAUCUUACCAAGUAACGGAAGUUAUAUAGUUAUAUCUCAGUAUUAGUUAUUUCAUAUCUCUUAUUUUAAAGGAAAUUUUAAUAAAAACGGAUUUUUAUACAAAUAAAUAAAGCCCACACAGUUUCACAGUCUAAUUAUAUAGCCCGUUCAUUUUUUUUGAAAGCUUUCAAGACAAUUAACUGAACAGAGUGCAUUGGAGCAGUCAUGACAGCAGGUGGCGCUCUCUCGAUGAUUAUUUAUUUAUGCGUCAUGGCUACAGUUUACAGUUGUGUUUUCGUUCUCGCAUGAUCACAACCGUAUGUAUUAGUCUGGAGGCGUGGGCAGACUAAGUGGGCCUAAUCCAUACCGAUUGAAAGGAGUCUUGUCUAUUCACCAACGAUCUCAACAACUAGCCGGAAUAAGCUAAUUUAUCCUGCGCCGGUGCCGGGCCGAGGGCACACAUCCAGACUCAAUCUGACGCACAGGUCGCGCUCAUACUUGAUAGGUUAGAGUCGACGCUUCCGGGUAAUCACAGUCUUGGGGCGGGUUCUGUUUGCUGUGUUUACCUCUUGUCCAGGCCAUUAUUCCGACACAACACGGCAUAAUGACAGCUACAAUCCUCUCUUCUCUGGUCCUCUUCACUGUUCUCUCCGCGGGGCAAACAAGGGUAGUGGUGGACUCUCUGCUGCCCAGAGAAGAUAAAGAUGGUUUAAUGUUGGCAGAGGGUGUGUGUGAGGACUGCACCAAGAUCACACAGCUGCUAUUGGCUACGGGUUCUCAUGACAUCAUACAGCUUGAGCUGCUGACGAAGGCUCUGUAUGGAGUAUGCAUGCAGCUACCUAAAGGAGAGGCCUUGACUCGUUGCUAUCUGAUGCUAGGCAAACACCUGCCCUCAAUAAUGGAGCAGCAGACUGCCAUGUGUCCUCUGCUGGGAUUGUGUCCUCUCCAAUCAUUGCAAGAGAACCCAAAGCAUCUGACCAAUGACAUUGCUGAGAUCAGCACAACACACGUCUCUGUGGGAGGGACUAAGCCGAACACACAGGUGUGUGUGUGUGUGUGUGUGUGUGUGUGGCUGCAUGGGUAUACAUGGUGUAUGUGUGUGUGUUUGUGUGUGUG